GGGUAGAGGCAGGGCCAAGCCAGGAAAACCCUGGAAGAUUCAGGCUCCCCUCCUCCGCCCCCUACUGCCGCGUCUCGCGCUGACGUCCACCUUCCAGGGCCCCUUCCCUCCGCGGAGGAGGGCGGAGCCCGGAGAUUGCCGCCCCGCCCCCACCCAGCCCCCGGGCGCUGCGGACCCAGGCGAUAGAAGGGAGCUGAUUGGAACGUGCAGACCCUGCAACCCCAGGCUUGGGCCGGGCAGCGUGGGGCUAACUGAAGUCCGCAUACCCGACCGGUAGAGUCGGAGCAGGUGUCGGUUCAGGGGCCCGGGAGGUCCUGGCAUCGGGCCGUGAGCGGAAGCACCUCUGGGAACCCCUCCCCAGCCAUGGACAGCCCCAGUCUUCCAGAACUGCAACAGCCUCUGCUGGCAGGUGUAGGCUCCACCUGCCCUGUCCAGAAGCCUGGAGAACCUGAGCCAGAUCCCCUCUUUGGAGAGACAGCUUUUGCAGAGUCCCUAAGGGGUUGGCAGUUUCUGCCACCACCUCUUCCCUCUGUGAGCACUGGUCUGGGGCAGCCAGGGCACCCUGACCUUGAGGAUGCAUCAAGUGACAGCGACUCGGACUGGGACAGGGACAGCCUUCUCUCCCCUCUCCUACCCCAUGACCACCUGGGCUUGGCUGUUUUCUCCGUGCUGUGCUGCUUCUGGCCGGUGGGCAUUGCUGCCUUUUGCUUGGCCCAAAAGCAUUUACCAUCAUCUGACAAACACCAAUUCUGGGCCCUCAGCACCUAGCAGGGACUGCACAAAGAAACAUUGAUGUGAAAGAGGAAUACUGAUUGGCUGGCUGUCUUCUCGCAUGCGCCCCAACCGACCAGGAAUCAAACCCGCAACCUGGCUCUUCCAACACUGACUGUUGUAACCAGUUCCCUGCAUUAAACUCUCUGCUGGAAAUCCCCCAGUGGUUUCUGCUUUCCUGACUGGAUGUGAGUGGGCAAAUAACUCAGAGUAACCACAGUCCCAGGAUACUGUGAACUUGAGCUGAUGAGGAAUGCUCUCUCUUCCUGUGCUUCUGAGCCUCUUAAGAUAUAAGCACAGCUAAAGUGGCCAAUCAUAGCCUCAGGAGAGAUACUGGACAGAAGUAAUGGAGCCGGCUGCAGAAAAGAGCAGGCACUAACAAAUGCAAAGGAAAUCCUGAUGGAGUCCAAGGCCCUGGCUCAAUUUCUGUUCUUUCCAGCACCUGCCCUGAGGAACAGAGUGGAGUCUGUCAGCUGGGACUGGGGUGGUGUGAGCCGACUGUGGUGGGAAAGUGUGGCCUACAGGAGAGGGUCAGGGUCUGCCACGGCCCUUAGCCAC